AUAGGUCAAUUAUGCGGGAAUUGAAUUAAUUUGCAUGUAGUGUAACGUUUCAAUUAUUUUAGAUUAUAUUUUGCUGAAAUUUGCUUUUUUUGCCAACCUUUUGAUGAUAUAAAUAAUAAAUGUCAUAAGUUUGGGCAUUUAGAAUUAAGCUGCAAGCUUCUGAAUUUUUGUUAAUAAAAGUUGGCAGAAUUGGAUUUAAUCCGAGUAUGGAAGCCAUUGAUUUAGACUUGUCCAGCAUAAAUUGUUUGAAAGAGUUCUUGAUCGUAAAGGGAUAAGCAGAUGGGCACUUAUUAACUGGGUGGUAAGUGAUCCCAUACAUGUUUUAUUUUGUUCUAAUCUUCAACUAAUUGCUAUGACUAGGUUAAGUAGCAUAUAUUGUCAACCUUGUGAAGCUGGCCUUAUCAAAUUGAGAGGAGGUUGACUAAUUGAUAAGAGAGGAGUUUUAACUAUUAUCAAUUCAAGACAUGUUUGCAUGCAUAAAUUUUGGAGAUGCAAAUAUCUUUAUAGUCAUUUUUGCUUGUCUUGAUGUGGGCAAUUUAAUACUAUUUUGCCAUAUAUGUCAGGUAAUGGGAAUGAGUUUAUAGUGUUUACAUGGAGAAAGAAGUGGUACAACACUUGCAGAAAUGGAAGGGUAAAUCAGGAAAAGAGCUCGCUGAGGAUGACAAUUUCCUUAGCAGAACAAACUGUUUUUAACAAAUGACUUGUAACUCUACAUUUGAAGUCUUGAAGAAUUAUAAUGCUAAUGUAGUUUCUUCGGAUGAUGUGUGUUAUGUGUACAGCACCUGUAGAAACAGUUAUUAAGGUGGUGGUGAUCAAGGAGAUUAAGGCUUCACAAUAAGCCAUGCAGCUAGACCGAUUGGCAGCUAUCGACAAGUACGAAGAAGAGAAAGAAGCUGCGCUUGAAAAGUUUGCAGAUUUUUUUCACCAGAUACCUUAAGAAAAACUCUUUUUCACUGUCAGCUUCUUUGAUUCAGGCACAGCUGAGGUAAACUUACUACUCGAAAGACUGAAUGAGUAGGUUACAGUGUCUUCCAGUGGCUAUAGAGUUCUCAUCGUUGGUCUUGAAUGGAAGAGCUGAAUUGUAUGAUAUUUGGUUUCGUGUGGAGAGCUUGUAUGAUAUUUGUUUGAGUUAACUAACAUUCUAUCUUCAAUUGUGUUAAGUUUUGAUGAUGUUUGUUGAAUUAAGUGAUAUGUCGCUGCAACAAUUUUUGCUGAAUUCCCGCAAUAAAGUGAGAUUAAAUGGAGGUGUAUACCUCACCUCAGAUUAAAUGGAGGACAGAAAGCUCAGAGUUUGCAUCAAUGGAAAGCUUGAAGUAUGCCGCUUCAAUGGAGGAGAGAGGAGAAAGAGAUAGUAGUGUCAAAAAUUCAUUUUGGCGGAAUUUCUUCUUCGUUGUUCCAGUGGGAAAUUUCAGAGAUUAGUCACUCAACCAGUCAACCCAACUCCAACAAAGACUGAGCUAAUUAGAUCUUAACACAAUUACCAAAUUUAGUUGCAUUGCCUUGAUUCCUAUAAAUCCUAUAGCAAGUUCAUGAAGUUUAGUGGUCUGGUGCCAUCUUAUGAAAUAACACUCAAAAGAGAAUAUCAUUCACAAACUCAAUGAGUGAGGAGAAAGAAAGUUUCUAAGUGUUUUUAAUGGCGACCUCAUCACCUGGCGUAGGCAUGGAGCUCAAAAUUAGCAUCUUGGAUGGAGUGGUUGUGGGUCAUAUACUGGUGUUCUCUCAAAAUUGUGCUCGAUCUUCUGAUCACCUCUGGUAUGUUCUUUGAUUUUACGUUUGCUGAACUUUAGUUACCAAUUUUUGAAACCCUCUUCUUCUUGUUUAUGUUUGCUGUAUAAAUUAACUUAGACCUAGGUUGAAUCGCUGCACUUAUAAAGCACGAAGCUGAUAGGUUGUUCAUUCUCAACAAAUCAACUACUAAAGUCAUCUUCUUUCUCCAAAAAAAACACAUUUUCUCUCAGAUUUACUUGCAGAUGGGGAGCUACUGUAAGAUCUUUUUUGCACUCAUUUAUUGCAUUUUGUUUCCUGUAACUUGAUGUUGUAGUGUUGUUUACAUUCUCUUAACAUUACUCAUGAUUUCAUGGAAAGCAUAGUGCAUUUACUUUGUGUCAACGAAACUGAGAAGCUGAAGGAAGGGUAGGGGGGUGGUUCUUGUACAUGCAUAAAUAUCUUUUAGCUCACAAAAAGUUUCAGAUGCCUUGUUUGUGAAGUUUUGACAGUUGGAUGAACUUAGAUACUCAUUAAUUAGAUGAAUCAUGCUCUAUUAAUUUGCAAAAUUCUAUUAUAUGUUGAAUAUUUAACAUUGAGGGAUUAUCUUCUUAAGUUGUCCUUAUUAGCUUUUGCUCUUAUAUCUCUUAAUUUACAGAAAGUUCAAAGAAUUAUCAACACUUAAUUAUGAGUCUUUAGGCUCUAGAGUACAAGUAGUUGUACAUGUAUUUUUCAUGUGAUCUAUUUUGCUUUUGACUUAGUCCUCAUGUUGAUGUUCAAUUAUGUGUGGUGGAAGACUAUGCCACUGGAGAAAGGUUUCAACAGUUUGCUAUCCAACUUUAAUAACCUGAAAGUUUGGUAUCCAACUUUAAUAACCUGAAAGUUGACUUGAGAAUCUUCUUCAGGAAAAGGAGAACCUUCAAGCUGAGGUAUCUAAUUCUGUUAAUAUCCUUGGUAUAUUCUUAGCUAAAUAUUUUCUUACAAGAUUCUUUUGUUAAUUGGUCAACUUUACAUUAGGUUCAAGGGUAAAAAAAAAGUUUAGUUAAGUGAUAAGUAUUCUGAUCAGAUAAGUCGCUACCCAAGUGAAAUCCACAACUAGAAUAAGUCCUCCUUUAGGAAUUCAAUUUGUUCUUGACAAUGGCUAUAUAGUAAUUGGCAGUUAGCACAGACAAGUUGCUUCUUCUAGAGGACAAACGGAGGGAGAUCAAUCUGAAACACCAAACACACACAUGCAUCAUCAAAAACAGUCCAAGAAGAUCCCAUUAUUGAAUUUGCUUAUGAGAGUGAGGAUCACCUAGCAUCAGUAUUAGGCUGCAAACAUGAACACCUGAGCUCUGUCAAGAGCAAUGAUGAUAUCCCGCACUAUGUGGAUGUUAGUCAUUCUCCUUUUUAGUGAGCUCUCUCAGCUCAAGGCAUGAAUUCUCUUUUUAUUAUUAUUAAUUAAUAACAACCUCAAGUUGGAAGAAUUCUUUUAUUUUUAAAAUAGAUUUUAGUUGUUAUCCUUUGCUCAACUGCGAAUUAAGGGUGAAAUAAGAAAUACUUUGAUAUAGUUACUAAAGAAGGUAAAAUGGGGUAUGAGGCAAAUAGGAUUAAACUUACUAAACUGUUCAAACCGUAUAACAUGAGCUAGAUGGAGGAAGAGGUAACAAAAAGCUUUGAGGAAGAGUGUUUAAAUGGAGAAAAAAAAAUGGGAAAGAGGGAGAAAUAUGCAAGAGAAGAUACAGAACAAUGAAACGGAAGGAAAAAUUGAAGAGAAAUAUGAAACGGAAGAAAAAAUUGAAGAGAACUAUGUAAUGGAAGGAAAAAUACUUCUUUUGGUUUGUAUAACCAUACGAGAGAGAGAGAGAGAGCUAUAAGUUAUGAAGUCAUUAAAAGGGAGACAGGAAAAGGAGAAAGAAAGAAAAAAAAGGAACGAGAGUACUUUUUAGGGUGGAAUUGAGUAAGGAGAUGUAAAUAUUGUAGAAACUUUCUAAAAUACUCAAAAUCAGAAAAGACUUAUCGAGCCUUUUAAACCCAACUUGUUCUUUUUGCAAAAACAAUUAAUCUUGAUGACAUCUUGUCUUCACUAAUGUAUAAUUACCUUGAAUACAGUAAUGAUAGGUGUUUUCAUUUCAACAAUACAUGUAAAUGGACUCUGUUUAAUGAGUUAAUUCAGGUUUCAGUUUACUCGUGGUUCUUUUCAAGAUACAUACUUAUGAUUGAGGAUCAUAGGAUAUGAAAAUUAUGAUGAAUUUGCGAUUCACUUUUGUAUUUCUAGAAGUUUGGUUAGAAAGCUGACAAACUCCCUAAAAUGAUACGGACUGGUAUUUUUAUUAUCUAUAUACAGGUCCAACACAUGUUUAGCAAUUAGCAGAGCUGUUAAGGAUAAGUAUUGAUGUUUUUUCUGAAAUCUGCUGUUUUUUAUGUGUGUAAUUUUUCUUAUCUAUAUUUUUUCUGAGUUCUCCUCUUGGUAUAUCAUAAUUGGCACUAACAUUUGUAAUAUAAUCAAGAACAUUAAUAUAAUUAGAACAUUGCUAAAAUCGGUUAAAGAAGAAGCAUCAUAAACUAAUUAGGCUGUCAAGUGCUAAAAGAAAGCCAUAGUCGUCUCUCUGGGGUCGAAGAAGCUGUCUAUAAGAACAUCAAAGCCUGUGAAAAACCAUUAUCCUUUUACCAAAACCCGAUUGAUUUAUGCAACUACUAUUGUGGUUUUCAAUUCGGUACGUUUUAGAGAACAUAAAUUGAUGGGUUUUAAACAUAAUUUGGCCCAAACAUAAAUAAAAGCUAAAAAUAAUGGAAAAGCUGUUAAUUGUUGUGGUUAGUGGAGGUUACAUUGGUCUGGAGCUUUGUAAAUUCAACAAAUUAGAUGUCUGUAUGGUGGUUUACUCUGAGACUGAUUGUUAAUGAUGAUCAUGAUCUUAUCAUCUUGAUUGUUAAUACAAUUCAGAAGGAUUUGAAAUCUGAUAAUUAUCUUGUGGUUUCUGCUUCUUUGAAUGCGUUUUGUCGAUUGAUCAAUGAGAAGACUAUUCCUGUGGUUUUGCCCCAGCUUGUUGACAUGCUUAAUCACCCUAAAGAGGUUGUUAAGAAGAAGGCUGUUAUGGGUUUGCAUCGGUUUUAUCAGCAGUCCCAGUCUUCGGUUUCGCACCUCGUCUCAAAUUUUGCAAGGAGGGUUUGUAAUAGCGUCAGAUUCAGGCGGCGGCAGAUAGUGGAGAAGGCAGGAGAGAGAUUAGAAAUGCAAAAUCCCAACAAUAUUAUCCAAGCUCCUACCGUAUGAAGUAUGAACCACUACUUGUAUGAUUUACAACAUUCUCCGUAUGAUUGCUCCUUUCACAAAUGUUUUAUUGACCGUCACAUAAUUCAAGUGUCACAUGAAGACGGAUUAUCCAUAAAUUAUACUCGUAAUUCCUUUAUUUUACUUUUGUAGAAUAGAGCAGUAAAUGCGCAUGUUACAUGUGUCAUAACUUGGCAUGCUAUAUUUGGAGAGUUUUUUUUUAGUUUAGUCUUAUGUCACAAUUUUAAUUUUUGUCAGCAUUAAGAAAGGAAAAUAUGUAAAUAAAUAUUUUUUAAAAAAUCUAAAUGUUUGCACACUAUUAAAAAAUGACAAUUAACAUGAACGAAAGCAAAUAAAUAAUGAAACAUAAAAGACAUGAUUUCAAAAAAAAAAAAAAAAAAAAAAAAUAUUAAAAUACAUACUUGUAAUUGUCUUAAUACUAUUCAUAAGUGUAAAAAGGUAGGAUGAGUGUGUAACCUUGUCUUGACUGUAUUGGUAAAAAUUUACCCUACACCGACCCUAGUGUAGGGUGUUCUGCCUACACCCCUAUGAAGCUACAUUGUUUUGUAGCUAGGUAGGGUACUAGGGUGUUCUACCUACACUCCUAGAUUUAACAAGUAACAACCUUUUUUUUCUUUUUUCUUCCGUUAUUAGUUUCUUUUUUUUUUUCUUCCUUUUUUUUUUUAAAUUCCUUUCUUUACUUAUUAUUCAAGCUAUGUAUAUACUACCUCCGUUAACUAUUAUUUGCAACAAAAGGAUAU